GCGCAUUAUGCUGGUCUCCAUGGCGGGGCCUCGGAGCCAAGACGAGAGAAAAUGCUGCUGUGAAGACCCAAUUAAAGCUUUCACAUAAAUGAAGCUACAGCUAUCAUGAUUUAGUGCCCCCAAAAGGAAGAACUUCAGUGGACAAGAAAGGACAUUUCUGGGGGUAGUAGAAUGCUUGAGGCCUGGAAUUUAAACCUGAGCCACUAUCUGAAGGCUGGAGUGCAGUGCUAUGAUCACAGCUGACUGCAGUCUUAACCUCCCAGGAUCAAGUGAUCCUCCCACCUCAGCCAUCUGAUUACCUGGGACUGCAGCUAUUAAAUAAUAGAAGAAAAUGGAAUUGAAUAUGAUGUCAGCAUGGAACAAUCUAAUGAUUCAUUAAGAGUCAACCAUAAUGACGGUGAAGAGUCAAAAACCAGUGCUCAAGUAUUUGAGCAUCUAAUCUGUAUGGACUCCAGGGAUUCUUCCUUUGGACAAAAUGAUUCUCCUACAGUUUUGCCCAUCACUACUCGUGAAGCAAAUAAUUCACUCAUAUCACAGAAUAUACCAGGGCCCCUGACUCAGACACAGACUCU
rnacentral:lncRNA from 10 species